AUCUGUCCGUGUUUGAGAUGGUCCAAGUACGACGUUAGCCAGAGCUCUUCUGAUAUGGUCGGGGCUUUCUUCUGUUAUUUACAGUUAAUGUGGGACCAGCUGGAUCUGAGUGCUACCAACUCAGUUUUUGGAUCGCAUUCAACUCAGGUGUGAUGUCAUUCCCAGCUCAGCUAUCUGACUUCCAAGGUGAUCAGGAUCAUUAUGACAGGAGGAUUCCUGAAGCAGACUGAUGGCAUAAAUGUGUGUGACACUUAGAGAGGAGAUCCUGUCUGGGAAAAGAUUCAGCCAUCAGCAUCAUCAGGUCAGACUCACUCGCUGCUGCUCUGAUGUCCUUGAUCUUCUGCCGAAUCUCUGGUACCAUCCUGGAUACACUGCCAGCAUCAAACACACAAACCAGAACGUGCACUUUGUCAUUAUCGAUUGGAUUUUG